ensembl:lncRNA
ACAGGAGAUGCACUUUUUCACUGGAGGAAGUGUUAUUAUGGAUUAUGGACUCUAUGUAUUUUAGUUUUUCAGCAUAUUUUCAUUUUUGGGUGAACUAUUCCUUUAAAUUGUAUUCUUGUUUCACUUUUACGUGGGCAAUAUAACACGAGAAAGCAUAAAAACAGUGGAUCUUUCAGGCAUUUUUGUGAAUGUAAUAUGAUUUAUUCUCUCUCAUUAUUGAGGAUGGAUAUGCAGUUUUAGGACUUUAAACAAGAGCUGACCGUCUUCAGCUGUGGGACACUGCAGAGAGAUGUCAGUGGCUGACAUCCAGAGGUUAUUCGCUCGGAUGGAUUUCAGAGAAUUUUAUCACUUCUCAACGCUCUAAAAAUAUAAAUCUGAGCAUCGCAGGCAGACGCUCCUGAUGAACAGACAAUAACACUGAUGCAUCGUUUCCAGGAAAGUCCUCCGUGAUAUCGACCCCUCCUUUGCACUUAUUAAAGACACAGCGAGGUGCAAUCAGAAUACAGAAAAGCACCGGCAGAAUCACUUUCAUCUGUAAUUCACAAUCGACAGAAUCAGGACUACAUCAGGGAUUGAUUCUCUGUCUGCUGGAAAAACAUCACGUGACACAUGUUUUGCUGAAACUAAGACACACAGAGUCUCCCCGUGACUCCCGUCAGCGCCUGAUUGGGCGGAAUCUCGUCGCCGUAACCAUGGCGACUGCCCACAGAGCACCUGGAGUGGUGACGCAGGCGUCGCUAUGACUCCUGAAGGACGGAGCGGUGAUAUAAAUAGAAAAAGAGAUAAGAAACGGGGGGAUAUUUGGGGAAGAUGAUGGCAGCUGUGACCCACACACACACACACACACUAGAGCCACAGGUGUGCCACUGACUGAAUGCCAGUGGGAAUGGCUCUCAAUGUGACUUUGGAAACUCGUCACCAGCAGGGAUUUCACUGUCAAUCCGACUGUAACAGGAGACGUGGAGCACUAAAGUGUGUCGUCCCACAGGAAAAUGAUGAAUAUUGCUCAGACGAGGCUCUCUUACAGCUCAGGAGACUCUCUUACAGCUCAGGAGACUCUUGUUUUAAGGAUGAGCUUUGUCUCAGAUGUUUCUUUUUAGAAAUGGAAGUAAAAACUAGAAUAUUUACAUUUUCUGAAGGAAAUAUUGUGUUUUAACAUGAAGAGGGGAAAGGGUUCUUACAGUAAACUAAAACUAGCACAAUAGAAAAUUGUUAAUUAAAAUACAAAGCUUUAAUUAAAAUAAAAUAAAAUAAAAUAAAAUAUAUAAAAUGUAAAAGUAAUUUAUUUCAGCAAUUUUUUAAUUUUCUGUAUUUUAACUUUAUCUGAUAUAUAUGCAAUGAAUUAAAAAAUACACAUUACAUACAUACAUGGGAUUAUUCUUAUUUAAAACUAAAAUCAUUUUAAAUAAUUUUGUUAUUAAAAAUGUCAACUAAAAUUAAAUAAAAUAUUUUUAAAAACUUAAAAAAAUAUGACAAUUUUAAGUUUAGUUUAAGUAACAGAAUAACUAAAACUGGAAAACUAUAUAGACUUAUUCAAACUUAAUCAAAUAAAAAAAUUAAAAACAUUCAAAUAUGAAUAAAGACUAUAUUAGUAUCUCAAUGAUACUGCUUUACUACAUUGUUGUUUGGUUGCUAGGUUGUUAUUGGUGGUUGCUAGGCAGUUGCUAACACGUGAGUCACUAGAUGUCAUUCAGUAAGAUUUUAGAGCUAUAAAAUGAACGUUGCUCAUUUUAUGUUUGGGUUCUUAUUGAGAUUUUGAUUGCAGACUUUGGUCACUGGAAAGUUGAGCUCAGCUUGAGACUCAUGUGAGUUCAACUUUUUUCAGGAGAAACAUCUGAGAAGCAGCACGACUCGGCAGAACUUUGUCACCGCAGUAAAGUAAGUCUGAAGUUUCAAUAGUAGCACUUGAAUUAUUCCGUCAAACGAUCCAUUUCAUCAUCGUCCUGCUUUUGUCCGGCUGUAGACUGUCGUGUUUGUUAUUUCAUGGAUGUUGAGCACGUUUGUGUCAAACCUUCAAAGAUGAAAACAGAUCUAAAGCACAAAUUCUGUGUGAAGAACACAAGUGUGUUUCUGUAUUCAAACACUUGCAUUGAUUUCUUUAUUUCAGAAGCGGAUUAUGCAAUGUCUGGCAACCCUACUGCUGUUUACAUAUCAAACCGUGUUCAGUUUCAGUGUCACAGACAGAAAACGUGACAACUGCAUGAAAAUGAAAACAUCAAAUCAGUCACCAAGAACUGAGUGUUUG